AUGAACGCUAGCGGGAGGCCUAACACAUGCAAGCCGAGCGGUAGAGUUCCUUCGGGGACUUGAGAGCGGCGCACGGGUGCGGAACACGUGUGCAACCUGCCUUUAUCUGGGGGAUAGCCUUUCGAAAGGAAGAUUAAUACCCCAUAAUAUAUUGAUUCGCAUGGAUUGAUAUUGAAAACUCCGGUGGAUAAAGAUGGGCACGAGCAAGAUUAGAUAGUUGGUGAGGUAACGGCUCACCAAGUCAGUGAUCUUUAGGGGGCCUGAGAGGGUGAUCCCCCACACUGGUACUGAGACACGGACCAGACUCCUACGGGAGGCAGCAGUGAGGAAUAUUGGACAAUGGGUGAGAGCCUGAUCCAGCCAUCCCGCGUGUGUGAAGAAGGCCUUCGGGUUGUAAAGCACUUUAGCCUGGAAAGAAAAAACUUUGGUUAACACCCAAAGUCUUGACGGUACCAGGAGAAUAAGCACCGGCUAACUCUGUGCCAGCAGCCGCCGUAAUAC
rnacentral:rRNA from 1 species